UACAAUAAACUUAAAAUUUAAUGAUAAAAAUUGAUGCAAGAUGAAAGACCACAGAAUAAAAUUUGUAAGCAUUUAUGGAAGAGGAACAAUAAAUGUGGUAAUAAUAAUUAAAAUAAUAAUAUGUCAAAUAUUUUCAACUAAUGGAUCGAUUUUCUCUAAUGUGACUUACAGCGAAUCAAAAAUUAUUUCUAAAU